rnacentral:rRNA from 1 species
UUAAGUGACUAAGCGUACAAGGUGGAUGCCUUGGCAAUCAGAGGCGAAGAAGGACGUGCUAAUCUGCGAAAAGCUUGGAUGAGUCGAUAAGAGGCGUUUAAUCCAAGAUAUCCGAAUGGGGAAACCCAGUAGAUGAAGAAUCUACUAUCAACAAGUGAAUACAUAGCUUGUUGAGGCAAACCGGGAGAACUGAAACAUCUAAGUACCCCGAGGAAAAGAAAUCAACCGAGAUUUCGUCAGUAGCGGCGAGCGAAAGCGAAAGAGCCAGUAAGUGAUAACAGUAUGGUUAGGAGAAUGUGUUGGGAAGCACAAUCAAAGAGGGUGAUAAUCCCGUAUCUAAAAACUAUAUUGUGGUACUAAGCUAACGAGAAGUAGGGCGGGACACGUGAUAUCCUGUUUGAAGAAGGGGGGACCAUCCUCCAAGGCUAAAUACUCCUGAUUGACCGAUAGUGAACCAGUACUGUGAAGGAAAGGCGAAAAGAACCCCGGUGAGGGGAGUGAAAUAGAACCUGAAACCUUGUACGUACAAGCAGUGGGAGCCCGAAAGGGUGACUGCGUACCUUUUGUAUAAUGGGUCAGCGACUUAUAUUUUGUAGCGAGGUUAACCGAAUAGGGGAGCCGAAGGGAAACCGAGUCUUAACUGGGCGAGUAGUUGCAAGGUAUAGACCCGAAACCCGGUGAUCUAGCCAUGGGCAGGUUGAAGGUUGGGUAACACUAACUGGAGGACCGAACCGACUAAUGUUGAAAAAUUAGCGGAUGACUUGUGGCUGGGGGUGAAAGGCCAAUCAAACCGGGAGAUAGCUGGUUCUCCCCGAAAUCUAUUUAGGUAGAGCCUUGAGGUGACACCUUUGGGGGUAGAGCACUGUUUCGGCUAGGGGGCCAUCCCGGCUUACCAACCCGAUGCAAACUACGAAUACCAAAGAGUGAUACUCAGGAGACACACGGCGGGUGCUAACGUCCGUCGUGGAGAGGGAAACAACCCAGACCGCCAGCUAAGGUCCCCAAGUCUAUAUUAAGUGGGAAACGAAGUGGGAAGGCUUAGACAGCUAGGAUGUUGGCUUAGAAGCAGCCAUCAUUUAAAGAAAGCGUAAUAGCUCACUAGUCGAGUCGGCCUGCGCGGAAGAUGUAACGGGGCUGAAAUAUAGCACCGAAGCUGCGGCAUCAGGCGUAAGUCUGUUGGGUAGGGGAGCGUUCUGUAAGCGGAUGAAGGUUAAUCGAGAGGUUAGCUGGACGUAUCAGAAGUGCGAAUGCUGACAUAAGUAACGAUAAAACGGGUGAAAAACCCGUUCGCCGGAAGACCAAGGGUUCCUGUCCAACGUUAAUCGGGGCAGGGUGAGUCGGCUCCUAAGGCGAGGCUGAAAAGCGUAGUCGAUGGGAAACAGGUUAAUAUUCCUGUACUUGGUAAAGCUGCGAUGUGGGGACGGAGUAGGUUAGGUUAUCGCACUGUUGGAUAUGUGCGUUUAAGUUGGUAGGUGGGAAGUUUAGGCAAAUCCGGACUUCUAUUAAACACUGAGAGAUGAUGACGAGGCUCUAAGGAGCUGAAGUAACUGAUACCACACUUCCAGGAAAAGCCACUAAGCGACAGGCUUUACUAAACCGUACUGAAAACCGACACAGGUGGUCAGGUAGAGAAUACUCAGGCGCUUGAGAGAACUCGGGUGAAGGAACUAGGCAAAAUAGCACCGUAACUUCGGGAGAAGGUGCGCCGGCGUAGAUUGUAAGGGCUAGCCCCUGAAGGUUGAACCGGUCGAAGAUACCAGCUGGCUGCAACUGUUUAUUAAAAACACAGCACUCUGCAAACACGAAAGUGGAGGUAUAGGGUGUGAUGCCUGCCCGGUGCUGGAAGGUUAAUUGAUGGUGUAAUCGCAAGAGAAGCACCUGAUCGAAGCCCCAGUAAACGGCGGCCGUAACUAUAACGGUCCUAAGGUAGCGAAAUUCCUUGUCGGGUAAGUUCCGACCUGCACGAAUGGCAUAAUGAUGGCCAGGCUGUCUCCACCCGAGACUCAGUGAAAUUGAAAUCGCCGUGAAGAUGCGGUGUACCCGCGGCUAGACGGAAAGACCCCGUGAACCUUUACUAUAGCUUGACACUGAACAUUGAAUUUUGAUGUGUAGGAUAGGUGGGAGACUUAGAAGUAGGAACGCCAGUUUCUAUGGAGUCAUCCUUGAAAUACCACCCUUUAACGUUUGAUGUUCUAACGAAGAUUGCGGAACGCGGUCUCGGACAGUGUCUGGUGGGUAGUUUGACUGGGGCGGUCUCCUCCCAAAGCGUAACGGAGGAGCACGAAGGUUUGCUAAUCACGGUCGGACAUCGUGAGGUUAGUGCAAUGGUAUAAGCAAGCUUAACUGCGAGACAGACAAGUCGAGCAGGUACGAAAGUAGGUCAUAGUGAUCCGGUGGUUCUGAAUGGAAGGGCCAUCGCUCAACGGAUAAAAGGUACUCCGGGGAUAACAGGCUGAUACCGCCCAAGAGUUCAUAUCGACGGCGGUGUUUGGCACCUCGAUGUCGGCUCAUCACAUCCUGGGGCUGAAGUAGGUCCCAAGGGUAUGGCUGUUCGCCAUUUAAAGUGGUACGCGAGCUGGGUUUAGAACGUCGUGAGACAGUUCGGUCCCUAUCUGCCGUGGGCGUAGGAGAAUUGGUUGGGGCUGCUCCUAGUACGAGAGGACCGGAGUGGACGCACCACUGGUGUUCCGGUUGUGUCGCCAGACGCAUUGCCGGGUAGCUAAGUGCGGAAGAGAUAAGUGCUGAAAGCAUCUAAGCACGAAACUUGCCAAGAGAUGAGUUCUCCCAAUCUAAGAGAUAGUAAGGGUUGUUGUAGACUACGACGUAGAUAGGUCUGGUGUGUAAGUGUAGUGAUACAUUGAGCUAACAGAUACUAAUUGCCCGAGAGGCUUAACU